rnacentral:piRNA from 1 species
UAGGACAUCUUUGAGAGUCUA